rnacentral:misc_RNA from 1 species
UAGCAGUGGCGGCUACGA